GCAUGCGCAAUGGGAUGGUGUGUAUUUGAAGAAGACGUCGUCGACGAAGAAUUUUAAGCUCGUGUUCGGGAUGAGGCAGUAAAGUUAGGACUACAGGAGAGUUUCACUGUUGAGCACCCUUGUCGGUUCUGCUUAGCAACGAGGAGUGAAAUCCAGGAGAAGGAGGUCCGGUCGGGAGCAUUUGAACUGAGAACCAAGCAGGAGCAUGACAGGCAUACCAAGUAUGGAGACAACAACUGUACUCCGAGUUAUAAUUUGUGACAACGACAUCCGAAAAAUUGUACUUCCUGUGAAACCACAGACAGUUGACUCACUGUGGAACAACUUGAAGAAAAGCUGGGACUUCAGUACAAGUUAGCACUUCAGUUUGAGGAUCCAGACUUCAACAAUUCCCUCAUGAAUCUUACCAACAUUGCUGACUUGCCAGAUAAGCCUACACUGAAGAUUGUCUCCCUUGUGACGUCACCAACCCCUAGCACAGCUGACACUGAAGUCCUAUCUGUGGCUUCUGAUCAUCCACGUCAUUGUCUACGGACUGCAUGGCCAGAAACUUUCGAGAUCCCUACUUUUCCUGUUGACGUUGAGUAUAGAUUACGUCAG